rnacentral:rRNA from 1 species
AGUCGAACGAUGAAGCCUUUCGGGGUGGAUUAGUGGCGAACGGGUGAGUAACACGUGGGCAAUCUGCCCUUCACUCUGGGACAAGCCCUGGAAACGGGGUCUAAUACCGGAUAUGACACACGACCGCAUGGUCUGUGUGUGGAAAGCUCCGGCGGUGAAGGAUGAGCCCGCGGCCUAUCAGCUUGUUGGUGGGGUGAUGGCCUACCAAGGCGACGACGGGUAGCCGGCCUGAGAGGGCGACCGGCCACACUGGGACUGAGACACGGCCCAGACUCCUACGGGAGGCAGCAGUGGGGAAUAUUGCACAAUGGGCGAAAGCCUGAUGCAGCGACGCCGCGUGAGGGAUGACGGCCUUCGGGUUGUAAACCUCUUUCAGCAGGGAAGAAGCGAGAGUGACGGUACCUGCAGAAGAAGCGCCGGCUAACUACGUGCCAGCAGCCGCGGUAAUACGUAGGGCGCAAGCGUUGUCCGGAAUUAUUGGGCGUAAAGAGCUCGUAGGCGGCUUGUCACGUCGGAUGUGAAAGCCCGGGGCUUAACCCCGGGUCUGCAUUCGAUACGGGCAGGCUAGAGUGUGGUAGGGGAGAUCGGAAUUCCUGGUGUAGCGGUGAAAUGCGCAGAUAUCAGGAGGAACACCGGUGGCGAAGGCGGAUCUCUGGGCCAUUACUGACGCUGAGGAGCGAAAGCGUGGGGAGCGAACAGGAUUAGAUACCCUGGUAGUCCACGCCGUAAACGUUGGGAACUAGGUGUUGGCGACAUUCCACGUCGUCGGUGCCGCAGCUAACGCAUUAAGUUCCCCGCCUGGGGAGUACGGCCGCAAGGCUAAAACUCAAAAGGAAUUGACGGGGGCCCGCACAAAGCAGCGGAGCAUGUGGCUUAAUUCGACGCAACGCGAAGAACCUUUACCAAGGCUUGACAUACACCGGAAAACCCUGGAGACAGGGUCCCCCUUGUGGUCGGUGUACAGGUGGUGCAUGGCUGUCGUCAGCUCGUGUCGUGAGAUGUUGGGUUAAGUCCCGCAACGAGCGCAACCCUUGUUCUGUGUUGCCAGCAUGCCCUUCGGGGUGAUGGGGACUCACAGGAGACUGCCGGGGUCAACUCGGAGGAAGGUGGGGACGACGUCAAGUCAUCAUGCCCCUUAUGUCUUGGGCUGCACACGUGCUACAAUGGCCGGUACAAUGAGCUGCGAUACCGCGAGGUGGAGCGAAUCUCAAAAAGCCGGUCUCAGUUCGGAUUGGGGUCUGCAACUCGACCCCAUGAAGUCGGAGUUGCUAGUAAUCGCAGAUCAGCAUUGCUGCGGUGAAUACGUUCCCGGGCCUUGUACACACCGCCCGUCACGUCACGAAAGUCGGUAACACCCGAAGCCGGUGGCCCAACCCCUUGUGGGAGGGA